rnacentral:lncRNA from 1 species
GUAGCGCCAAUAGUGCAUUGGCGCUGUGUUUGAUCCUGAUCAUCCCCACAUGUUAGGCGAUGAAUUUGGAUGCGAGGUCUGCAAAGCUGGAAAUUGAUCCGGCUGGCAAACCAGAAAACCAUCGAUAGGCAUUGCCCUUAAGAGUGCCGGGGAAUGCUCGACACAGUAGUGCGUUAUCAGUGGUUUGCGGUUCCAGAACGCUGAGGUAGAGGUUGACGUGAUCUUGUGGAUCACUCGAACCAUCGUACGACUCUAUUCUGGGUACCCG